AGUUAGACAGUUAGACAGUUAGACAGUUAGACAGUUAGACAGUUAGACAGUUAGACAGUUAGACAGUUAGGCAGUUACACAGUUACACAGUUAGACAGUUAGGCAGUUAGACAGUUAGACAGUUAGACAGUUAGACAGUUAGACAGUUAGACAGUUAGGCAGUUAGACAGUUAGACAGUUAGGCAGUUAGGCAGUUAGACAGUUAGACAGUUAGACAGUUAGGCAGUUAGACAGUUAGACAGUUAGACAGUUAGACAGUUAGACAGUUAGACAGUUAGGCAGUUAGGCAGUUAGACAGUUAGACAGUUAGGCAGUUAGGCAGUUAGACAGUUAGACAGUUACACAGUUAGACAGUUACACAGUUACACAGUUAGACAGUUACACAGUUAGACAGUUAGUUAGACAGUUAGACAGUUAGACAGUUAGACAGUUAGACAGUUAGACAGUUAGGCAGUUACACAGUUAGACAGUUAGACAGUUAGACAGUUAGGCAGUUAGUUAGGCAGUUAGCAGUUACACAGUUUGACAGUUAGACAGUUAGACAGUUAGAGCAUUGGGCCAAUAACCAAAAGGUCACUAGUUCAAAUCUUCAAGCAGACAAGGUGAAAAAUCUGUUGGUGUGUCUCUCUCUCUCUCCCUCCCUCUCUCUCCUUCUCUCUCUCCCUUUCUCUAUCUCCCUUUCUCAUCUCCCUUUCCCUCUCUCUCCCUCCCCAUCCCUUUCUCACUCUCCCUUUCUCCCUCCCACUCUCCCUUCCUCUCCCUCCCUCUCCCUCUCCCUCCCUCUCUCUGACUCCAGGUGGGUUUCAUAGACUACAUAGUCCACCCUCUGUGGGAGACGUGGGGUGACCUGGUCCACCCUGAUGCUCAGGACCUGCUGGACACGUUGGAGGAGAACAGAGACUGGUACCAGUCCACCAUGCCUCAGAGCCCCUCUCCUCCCUACGACAAACACCUGCUCACAGACCGCUUCCAGUUUGAGCUGGCACUGGAAGAUGUGGAGCCCAACCACAACCACAUACAACAACUCAACGGGUCCAACCACAUGGUCAGACAGGAGAACGGAAACCAGGACAAUUCAAAGGAGGACCAUGUUGAAGAGGUGGAGGAGAACCAUGUUGAAGAGGAGAUAGAGGACCAUGUCGAGGAGGAGGAGGAGGAGAACCAUCUUGAAGAGGAGAACCAUGUUGAAGAGGUGGAGGAGAACCAUGUUGAGGAGGAGAAUCAUGUUGAAGAGGUGGAGGGGAACCGUGUUGAAGAGGAGGAGGACCAUGUUGAAGAGGAGGAGGAGGAGAACCAUGUUGAAGUGGAGGAGGAGAACCAUGUUGAGGAGGAGAAUCAUGUUGAAGAGGUGGAGGGGAACCGUGUUGAAGAGGAGGAGGACCAUGUUGAAGAGGAGGAGGAGGACCAUGUUGAAGAGGAGAUAGAGGACCAUGUUGAAGAGGAGGAGGACCAUGUUGAAGAGGAGGAGGAAGAAGACCAUGUUGAAGGGGAGGAGGACGACCAUGUUGAAGAGGAGGAGGAGGACCAUGUUGAAGAGGAGGAGGAGGACCAUGUUGAAGAGGCGGAGGAGAACAAUGUUGAAGAGGAGGAGGACCAUGUUGAAGAGGCGGAGCAGAACCAUGUUGAAGAGGAGGCAGAAGAAGAUAGAGGAGAGGAGGAUGUCAAAGAUAAUGGGGAUGUGGAGAACCAAAAUGGAGAACAAGACUGUGUUGGGGAAGAGCAGAAGGAAGGAGAAGAAGAGGAGGAGGAGGAAGAAGGAGAGGAACAGGAGGAGGAAGAAAGAGAGGAACAGGAGAAAGAAGGAGAGGAGGUGGAGAAAGAAGAGGAGGAGGAUGAGGAGAAAGAAGGAGAGGAGGUGGAGAAAGAAGAGGAGGAGGAGGAGAAAGAAGGAGAGGAGGUGGAGAAAGAAGAGGAGGAGGAUGAGAGAAAGAAGGGAGAGAGGGGGGAAAGAAGAGGAGGAGGAGGAGGAGGAGGAGGAGAAAGAAGGAGAGGAGGGGGAGAAAGAAGAGGAGGAGGAUGAGAAAGAAGAGGAGGAGGAGGAGGAGGAGGAGGAGGAGGGGAAGAAAGAAGGAGUAGAAUGAAAGAGAGGAAAAGGAGGAAGGAAAAGUAGGAAAAGUUAGUUGGAAAUGAGGAGAUCAAAAAAAGAAGAAUAGAUAAAAGAGAGAAGAGAAGCUAAAUCAGACCCAGUGAAUGAGAGAUGGAGGAAGAGGAGGAGAGAUGGAGGAAGGGGAGGAGAGAUGGAGGAAGGGGAGGAGAGAUGGAGGAAGAGGAGGAGAGAUGGAGGAAGAGGAGGAGAGAUGGAGGAAGAGGAGGAGAGAUGGAGGAAGAGGAGGAGAGAUG
ensembl:lncRNA